UUUGGAAUAUUGGACAAUGGGCGAAAGCCUGAUCCAGCGACGCCGCGUGGACGAUGACGGCCUUCGGGUUGUAAAGUCCUUUUGCUUGGGAACAAUAAUUUGAGCGUACCAAGAGAAUAAGAGGUUGCUAACUCUGUGCCAGCAGCAGCGGUAAUACAGAGACCUCAAGCGUUAUCCGGAAUCAUUGGGCGUAAAGCGUACCGACAGGUGGUCUUGCAAGUCAGAGGUGAAAUCUCCGAGCUUAACUCGGAAUCUGUCCUUUGAAACUGCACGACUAGAGGGGCAAAGAGGAAGCUGGAACAAACGGUGUAGUAGUGAAAUGCGUUGAUAUCGUUUGGAACACCAAUAGCGAAGGCGGGCUUCUGGGUGCCACCUGACACUGCUAGGACGAAAGCGUGGGGAGCGAAUGGG
rnacentral:rRNA from 1 species